rnacentral:rRNA from 1 species
AUGCAGUCGACGAGUUGUUUAUAGUAGCACUAUUGGGAACAGCAAGUGGCGAACGGGUGAGUAACACGUAGAUCAUCUGCCUUUCGGACGGGGACCACUCAGGGAAACUUGUGCUAAUACCCGAUGAGACUACGGGAGGGGACUUUCGUAGCCUAAGGUGGGGGCGACCUCCCGCUGAAAGAUGAGUCUGCGUCCUAUCAGCUGGUUGGUGGGGUAAAAGCCUACCAAGGCGAAGACGGGUAGCCGGCCUGAGAGGGUGAACGGCCACNCUGGAACUGAGACACGGCCCAGACUCCUACGGGAGGCAGCAGUGAGGAAUUUUCCGCAAUGGGCGCAAGCCUGACGGAGCGACGCCGCGUGAGGGAUGACGGCCUUCGGGUUGUAAACCUCUUUUAUUAGGGAAAAAGGCAUAUGUGCUAAUACCCCGUAUGUUUGAUGGUACCUGUUGAAUAAGCCCCGGCUAACUACGUGCCANCANCCGCGG